AGUCUUGCUUCCAUUCCACUAGCCAAGAAUAAGGAGAGUGACUUUCUCUUUUGAACCUCUUAAGCUGACUUGAAAAAAAAGUGGUACACCCCUCAGAGAUAUAGGGACCGCCAUGCUCGUCCACUUUCUUGAUAAACGACUCGAUGCAUUUUAUCUUCCUUGCCGCUGAGACUGAGACAUAUCAAAAAAAUCUAUUACUAAGAGGAGAUUGGGAUCAUCCUGUGGUUAUCGGAUGAUGGGAAUAACUAAGCAGAAAUUUGUUAAUGAG
rnacentral:lncRNA from 1 species